rnacentral:tRNA from 2 species
CGCGGGGUGGAGCAGUGGUAGCUCGUUGGGCUCAUAACCCAAAGGUCGUCGGUUCGAAUCCGGCUCCCGCAACUA